CCUCUCUCCAAGCCCUCCAGCUUGGGUGUUGGGCUGCCGUCCCCCUCCCGUGGCGGGGUUGGGACGGGCCUGAAAGACAACGGCGAUGCGAUGGUCAGCUCCCGAGCGUAUGGGUUUAUUUUCCCGCUCUACGGGUGUGAUCGGCAUCUGCCUCUGCCCUGCAGUGCUGACUCCAG
rnacentral:misc_RNA from 1 species